UGACGGUACCUGACUAAGAAGCCCCGGCUAACUACGUGCCAGCAGCCGCGGUAAUACGUAGGGGGCAAGCGUUAUCCGGAUUUACUGGGUGUAAAGGGAGCGCAGACGGCAAGGCAAGUCUGAUGUGAAAGGUGGGGGCUCAACCCCCAAACUGCAUUGGAAACUGUCUGGCUAGAGUGCCGGAGAGGUAAGCGGAAUUCCUAGUGUAGCGGUGAAAUGCGUAGAUAUUAGGAGGAACACCAGUGGCGAAGGCGGCUUACUGGACGGUAACUGACGUUGAGGCUCGAAAGCGUGGGGAGCAAACAGGAUUAGAUACCCUG
rnacentral:rRNA from 1 species